rnacentral:rRNA from 1 species
CCCUAGUGGCGGACGGGUGAGUAACGCGUGGGUAACCUGCCAUAUACAGGGGGAUAACACUUAGAAAUAGGUGCUAAUACCGCAUAAGCGCACAGGGGCGCAUGCCCCGGUGUGAAAAACUCCGGUGGUAUAUGAUGGACCCGCGUCUGAUUAGCCAGUUGGCAGGGUAACGGCCUACCAAAGCGACGAUCAGUAGCCGGCCUGAGAGGGCGGACGGCCACAUUGGGACUGAGACACGGCCCAAACUCCUACGGAAGGCAGCAG